rnacentral:rRNA from 1 species
AACGCGAAGAACCUUACCUGGCCUUGACAUGGAUUGGACCGGGUGUGAAAGCAUCCUUCUCUUCGGAGCCGAUUCACAGGUGCUGCAUGGCUGUCGUCAGCUCGUGUCGUGAGAUGUUCGGUUAAGUCCGGCAACGAGCGCAACCCUUGUUCUUAGUUACCAGCGGAUAAUGCCGGGGACUCUAGGAAGACUAACUCCUUUUAGGAGUGGGAAGGUGGGGACGACGUCAAGUCAGUAUGGCCCUUACGGCCAGGGCUGCACACGUGCUACAAUGCCUAGUACAGAGGGAAGCAAGACCGCGAGGUGGAGCAAAUCCUUAAAGCUAGGCCCAGUUCAGAUUGAAGUCUGCAAUUCGACUUCAUGAAGCCGGAAUCGCUAGUAAUGGCGUAUCAGCUACGACGCCGUGAAUACGUUCCCGGGCCUUGUACACACCGCUAGUC